rnacentral:tRNA from 1 species
UCCCUGAUGGUGCAGCGGUUAAUAUUCCUGGUUUUCACACAGGCGGCCCGAGUUCAACUCUUUGUCAGGGAG